GAUGAACGCUAGCUACAGGCUUAACACAUGCAAGUCGCGGGGCAGCAUGGGGGUUGCUUGCAAUCCCCGAUGGCGACCGGCGCACGAGUGAGUAACGCGUAUCCAACCUGCCCUUCACCACGGGAUAACCCGGCGAAAGUCGGACUAAUACCGUAUGUUGUCCAUUGACGGCAUCCGAUUUGGACGAAAGGUUUGGCGGUGAAGGAUGGGGAUGCGUCCGAUUAGCUGGACGGCGGGGUGACGGCCCACCGUGGCGACGAUCGGUAGGGGUUCUGAGAGGAAGGUCCCCCACACUGGAACUGAGACACGGUCCAGACUCCUACGGGAGGCAGCAGUGAGGAAUAUUGGUCAAUGGGCGUAAGCCUGAACCAGCCAAGUAGCGUGCAGGAUGACGGCCCUAUGGGUUGUAAACUGCUUUUAUGCGGGGAUAAAGUGGCCCACGUGUGGGUUUUUGCAGGUACCGCAUGAAUAAGGACCGGCUAAUUCCGUG
rnacentral:rRNA from 1 species